rnacentral:sRNA from 1 species
AUGUUGGUUUCUUGUUAUCUAGAGAGGCUACUACUUUUUCUUUUUGAAUUUAUUUUCAUUUAGAUGGGCUUCCCCCCUACCUCCUGUUUCCACCUCUUCUAGGGGUGUAACUAUAGCGUAAGUAUGUUGGGUAGGGUCUUUUGGGUUUGCUUCUAAGGCCCUGCGCGAUUCUGUCCUCAGGUUUUAUAUUGGUCUGUGCAGUUUGACUUGGAGAUCUUCUCACUCAGAUAUGGCAACAAGCAGCCUUCACUUUGCAUCAUGUGAUACGCAACAGGCGCCCAGACAGCGCGGAGCAUCUACUGUGAGCAGAGAGCCAUAACAAAAGAGAAGAGAAUGGAGGAAGGAACCUUUUGGGAACACAGAACAUUGAAGCAUGGCUGAGACAAUGACAGUUCAAACAAGAGCUACAUAGAUGUCUGAGAGAGGAAGACUCUAUGAGUUGGUGGCCACAGGACAGUUCAUCAUCAACCAAGGUGGAUCUCAAAAGUGGCCUCGAAGAAUGUGCUGUGGCAUUGAACUUAUUUCUAAGCAACAAAUUUACAGAUGCCUUAGAAUUGCUUCGCCCCUGG